AUGAUGGGGGAGGACGAGGUACAUGACUCAGAACUGCACCACUGUGAAGUGAAAGGUUAUGGUGGAAACUUUGCUUGGUGGAGACUCAGUGUCACUGCGGCUGUUGAUCAGGUCAAACCUCAGAGAACAACGAGUCCACAACCAGAGAAUCGGGGGAGAAUCGGCCUUCAUGCUGCUUUGGGGCUGACAGCAGCAGCAGCUCUGCUGUUUGUCUGUUUCAACUCUGAUCUGAUCUCAGUCUUCACUAAAUCUACAGAGAAGACAGUGACCCUCAGAGAUCAGAUGUCUCUCUGUCCCUGAAUCCUUUGACCCUGAUGGUCCAUGAAGCUGCUUUUCUCUGCACACACAGUCUGACCUCUGAACUCUUCAUCUCUCACUGUCUUCAUGAACUGAGAGAAACAAACAGGACGAGAGAGAGAAAGAGAGAGAGAGAGAGAGAGAGAGGAGACUGACAUCUGAUCAGAUCCAUCAGGACCAACAGGACUCUGUGUGGAGGACCCCCUUACUAUCAGACUGUUCAAGACAGUUUAGUUUGUCUCCUCAAGUCUCUACAUCCUCUAAUGUUACUGUGAUGUGGACAUAUUGUAAAUAAAACUUUACUAAUGAAGCUGCUGAUAAAAACAACGAGUCAAUUAGAAACAAGAGAAAUGUAGAAAAGAGAGAAAUGAACAAACAAACAGUGAAAUGAAAUCAUCAAGUAGAAGAAAGUAGUUCAAAGUUUAACAUCCACCUUGAGUAAAUCCAUCCACUCUGUUUCUCCUGAUUCUGAACAUUUCCUUUGAAUAUUUGUUUCCUCUGUUGGUUCAGUUCCUCCAACUUUAUUUUAAUGAUGUGAAGAAUUAUAGUAGAGAGAAUUUUUAAUUUCAUCUUUUUUUAUUUCAUCACAUUCUCAGUGGUUCAAAGUUGACAUGUUGGACUUUAACCUGUGGAACUUGAACACUUGUUGACAAAGACAAUAAAUUCAGCUACAAAUCAAAAGGUGAACAUCAACAUAAAACACUUUAUUUUAUCUACAUCUGAUUUGAUUCUUUGUUGAUUAACUGAAACUGAGAUCAAACUUUAUGGAGACUAAAUAUCUCAUAACACCACUAAUCUAUUGUCGACCUAAAGGUAAAUGAGACUCUCUGCUGCUUAGAAACAAGCUGACCUGUAUUAUUAGACUGAAUUAAACUUUUAGCUCCAUCACGUGGACUCAAACAAACACAGUUCACACAAAAUGUUCAAAUGCAGUGAGACAUUUUAGAAAAAGGUUACUCAGAAAGGUUUGUUCAAUAUGUUGAAAUCAUUUCUGUUAAACAGUCAGCUGGAGGAGAACCUGCUCACACGUCUGUCAGAGAGAAUAACUGAUAACAGCAUCUUUCAUCCAGAGCAACACUGAAUGACAAAUAGUCCUGAUGCUGCACAAAAGUUUUACUGUUGUAAAAAUGUCUUUACAGAGUAGUGGUUUCUGUGUUUUGACUCCUCCAGAUCAGACAGACUCUGGUUAUGUUGACAGACAUUACAGCAGUCCUGUCACUGUAACUAUAUAAAAUCUAAAAUGUGCUCUACUCUUAGUUUUCUACUAAUUAGAAAACAGGAAAACUGCUGCUGCUCUGAUGAUCCACCAGAUGAAGCUCCUGAGAUGGGAAAUCAUUUUUAGUUGGUUUACUCAAAGUAGAAUAAUUUACUCUGUUAACAUUACAGACAGUAUUAAUGCUGCAACAACAACAACAACAAUAUUAAUAUUUAAUAAUAAUUAUUUCAGACCGAGUCUUGGAUUCUGUUUCAUGGUUUCCUGAACCGAUGUGAUGACUCAGUCUGAUAGAAGUGGGGCCUGAGUCCUGUUGGUCUGGAUGGAGGUAGUGGGAUGUUGGUCUCUUCUCUCUCUCAUCCUGGUUCUUUCUCUCUGAAGAUGAUGAGACAGGUGAAAAGGUCAGAGGUCAGACUGCAGACAGAAGCUGCAGUCUAAAAAGAUUCAGGGACAGAGAGACGUCUUAACUGUGACACAGUUGAACAGAGGUUUCCUGUCUGAUCAGUAGAUUUACUCCAACUACGACUCAAAGCUACACAGAGUUUGACCAGUAGAGCUGCUGCUGCUGUUGGUCCCAGAGCAGUGUUGUUAUGAACUGAUGAACUGUCUUACUGCCCUCUAGUGGUCAAUGCAGGAAGAGCAGUAAAAUGAGGAUUUACUGCACUAGGAAGGAAGUGACGUAGUAGAAGUGUUGGUCCAGGGGUUGACAGAGAAGGUUGUUGAAUGAUAAUCUAAUUAAUCCAGACUUUGAAAUCUAUGAAAACAGCUUCAUCCAUAAGUUCUGUUGUAUUUUACAUGGAGAUCAGUUUUUUCCCCUUUUAGUAAAAUGACUCAUAGUUGUAAUUAUGUAUAAUGUGAAAUAAAUCAGCUGUGUCAGUAGAGGGCAGUAGUUCACUGACUGUCUUCUUAGAUAGUGGUCAGUUGGACUAAAACUGACAUUAAGACAAAUUGUGAACUGUGCUUCAGUGUUAGAAAUGUAUCAUGGCCUGAGGAUAAGUUAGGUUAGGUGGAAAACAACAGCACAUUUACUUUGAGAGGGACUAGUUGGAAACCUUAGUUUGGACCUCACGUCACAGUACAAUUAGAAAUACUCAAAGUAUGAUACUUACUUUAUUAUUUAGUAUUUAGAUGAAGUAAUUGUGUGUAUUUUGUCUUACAGUUGUAUUAAAAUGUGUUUCUAAUGCUUUGACCAUCUAUUUAAAAUGAAUAAGAGGUCCAAAACAUUAGAAACACGUCUUAAUAUGACCAUAAUAUCACCUUUCAGAGAGUUUCAACUUCAAUUCUUACCUUAUAAAAGUAGAAUUCAUGGCAGAGCUGCUGCAUUAGACAGGAGAGCUUCUAGUUUUGGCUCUGGAUAUGAGAUAAAUAUGAGAUCCAUCUGUAUAGACAUGGAUGAACCCAGGGUAUCGCUGUUCCACAUGCUCAUAGAACUCGAUCAUUAGAUCCCCACUUUCCCUUUCCUAUUUA
rnacentral:lncRNA from 1 species